UAUCAAUGGUUGCGGUUGUGAACUUCUCGUUUCUGUAUGUUUUAUCUUUAUGGCCUCACUUUUCUAUUGUCAGUCUGUCUAGUUCUCUAUUUGUUUCUGUCUGCUAUAUAAUUAAUUUUGCUAGGUGUAAGUUAAUUAGGGUAGUGAGAUAUAAUUGAUUAGAGAAUAUUACAAUAUUAGGAUUG